rnacentral:tRNA from 1 species
UCUAAUAUGGCAGAAAAGUGCGAUGGAUUUAAGCUCCAUAUAUAAAGGCCUACCUUUUAUUAGAA